AUGCAUCGGUUUAAGAUAUACAAAAUUCAAAUGUGUAAAUACGCAUUGAUAAACAAGUGUGACAGAGGAGAGAAUUGUACUUUUGCUCAUGACAUAAGUGAGUUAAGAAUAAAACCAGAUAUGCGGAAAACAAAGUUAUGUAAAAGUUAUAUUAUGGGCAAAUGUACUGAUUAUAGUUGUAUAUAUGCACAUUCUAUUGAAGAGUUGAGGAAAGUUGGGAAGCCAGCUAUUUGUCAGUUACAUAGAGAAGGAAGGUGUAUAAAAGGCAAUCAGUGUAGGUUUGCACAUUCCAUUACCGAUAUAAAUACUAAAUUAGUACAGUACUAUGAUAGAAUAGGGAAUUUAACCGAUGAAGAAAUGAGUAUGUUAGAAUUAAAAAGUUAUUUACAUAAUAAGCCCACUGCUAUUAGUAAUUGUAUAGGGAUUAGUAGUGGUACUACAACAAGCGAUAUUGAAUAUUCCACCAUAAAUAAUUUAUUAGGAUAUAGUGAAAUAAAUAAUGGAAAAAUUAAUACAGAACUUCAAAAUAAAAUAGAAAAAAAAAAAUUGGAACUGAAACAACUUAACCAUGAGAACAUAAAUGGCAAUUAUGAUAAUGGUCAUAUGGUUAAUAAUAAUUUUAAAGCUAGUAUCACAUGUAAUAAUAAUAAUAGUAAUCUUGGUUUUGGUAUGUAUGACAGUAACAAUAACAACAACAACAACAACAACAACAACAACAACAACAACAACAANNNNNNNNNNAACAACAACAACAACAACAACAACAACAACAACAACAACAACAACAACAAUAACAACAGUAACAACAAUAACACACAGAAUUUCGGUAUUACGAAUUUAGUUCUUAAACAAAGUAAUAAUAGUAAUUUUUUAAAUGGUAAUAUAAACAAUAUUUGUAAAAAAAAAAAAAAUAUUUUUAUGGGAGUAAAUAAAACUAAUAUAAAUUCUAAAGAUACAAAAUUAUGUGUAAUUAACACAAAUUUAAAGAAUACACAUGCAGGACCUUCAUCUGUUUCGUCUUUGUCUCCUUCUUCAUCUUACGAAUAUGACAGUUUGAUAAAAAACAACUUGCAAUAUAAUAACAACUGUAAUGUUUUUAGUUGUACUGGUAACAGUAGUAGUAGUAAUAGUAGCAGCAAUGGUAAUAAUAAAAUUGUUAGUAAUUGUAAUAGUAACAAUAGUAAUAAUUGUUAUAAUAAUAUGAAAACAGGAAGUUUAUCACAUGAACAUGUUCAUAAUUUUAAUAAUAUAAAAAACGAUUACCAACAGUGUAUAUUUUUUAAUGAUUCUGUAUAUAUGAAUCCACAAAAAACAUCCAGUGUUUUUCCUUUUUUAACUUGUAAUAGUAUUAAGCAGGUAGGAAAUGUCAGAGCUAGUGCUAAAAAUAGUGGUAUUAAAAGUAGUGGUACUAAAGGUAGUGGUACAAAAAAUAGUGGUAAUAUAGGUAGUGGUAAUAUAGGUAGUGGUAACAUAAGUAGUGGUAACAUAAGUAGUAGUAACAUAAGUAGUGGUAACAGAGAUAGUGGCAAUAGUGACAAUAGUAGUAACUAUCCCUUGCAAAAAGAAAAUGUGAACAAUCCUAACAACUGUAUAAAAAAAAUUGCACACUCUGAAAAAAACGAAUUUUCAAAUACAUGUGGACUUAUUAAAGGUAAAGAAAAAAAUGAAAAUAUUUUACCUAUACAUGCAAGUAAUGAUUAUAUUAAAAAUGGGUUGUUAACAUUUAGCUCUACACAUAUGGAUGAUAUUUCUACUGAGAAUAGUACUGCUAAUGUUGGUUCUGGUGCAGUACAUAUGGAUAAAAAAGAAAAAAAAAUUAACAAAAUAAAUAAUUUAUUUUUGAAUAAUAAUAAUUUUAAUGAAAAUAAUUUGCAAUAUUCAAAUAAUUAUGUAGAUAUAAAAAAAAAUAUGAAUAGUAAUGGUUGUGGAACGAAUAAUGGUUGUGGAACGAAUAAUGGUUGUGGAACGAAUAAUGGCUAUGUGGUUGUACCUAUGAUAAAUAAUAAUGGGUUGUUAAAAAGUAGUGAGAAUAUUGAUGAAGGUAAUAUAUAUGAUAAUUUGAAAGAUUCUGUUUGUGAUAGUAAUGAGAAAAACGGUUAUAAUGAGAAUCAGCAGAAAAGUGUAUUAUCAAGUGAUAUGUGUAUUGGCAUACAAAAUAAGACUAUUAAUAAUAAUAAUAAUAAUAAUAAGACUAAUAAUAAUAAUAAUAAUAAGACUAAUAAUAAUAAGACUAAUAAUAAUAAUAAUAAGACUAAUAAUAAUAAUAAUGGCAUGUAUUAUGUUGAGAAUACAACAUGUAAUAGUAGUGAUAGCACUUAUCUGUACAAUAAUAAAAAUAAUAAUAAAAUGUGUAACAAACCAUUAAAUAAUAAUAACACAAUAAAUGAAAAAAGUUUUUUUAAUAAUUAUGGCAUUAUAAAAUUAAACAAUAGUAAUGUUGAGUAUAUAAAUUCGAAUAUAAAAACUGAUGGAAAAGAAAAAGAAAUUAAUAAAAAUUUGAAUAAAACAAAUAUAAAUUACCAAAUAAAUGAUACAGUUAGUAACAAUACGAUAAAUAUUAAUAAUCCGUUUGAAAAAAGAAUAAUUGAGGAGAAUGAUAAAACUGAAGGGGUAAAGACAAUUACAAACAAUAAAGAGAACAAAACAAAACAAGAACAGAUAAAUUAUAUUUUAACAGAAAUAGAAGAAAAAGAAAAGAUUGGACAGGUUGAUGAUUGUAUUAAUAUAAAUAAGGAUAUGUUUAUUAAAAGUAAUGUUAAUGUAUAUGCACAAGUAAGUAAUGGCGAUAUAGCAAAGAGUCAGAACGGAAUGGAAAUAAACAAUAGUAGUGGUGGUAGUGGUAAAAACAGUGAUGACAAUAUUAAUAACAACAACAGUGGAAAUGACCUUGGAAAUAACAGUGGAAAUGACCUUGGAAAUAACAGUGGAAAUAACAGUGAAAAUAACAGUGGAAAUAACAAUAAUAAUUAUGAACAAGUCAUAAAAAAAACAAUUUUUAAUAACGAAUUAGAUUAUGUUAAAGACGAAACUGUGAGCAGUGAUAUGUUUCAAAGCAAUGAUUCAUUUGUUGUACAAAAUAAAAAUGAUAAGAACAAAAUUGGUUGUAGUGGUAGUGGUUGUAGUGGUAGCAGUGGUAGUGGUUGUAGUGGUAGCAGUGGUAUUGGUUGUAGUGGUAGCAGUGGUAGUGGUUGUAGUGGUAGCAGUGGUAGCAGUGGUAGUGGUAAUAAUGUAUGCUAUAUUGCCACAAAUAAAAAUGAAAGUUGUAAUAAUACGUAUACAGAGGAAAAGGAAAAAUGUGAUGUGAAGCGGAUUGACAUCGUACAUGUUGGAAAAACACAAAUCGAAGUAACACAAACAAGAAAUAAAAAAGGUAAUCCAAAAGAAAAAACACAUUACAAUAUACAUUAUAUGAAUAAUACAUGUAGUAAUAAUACCAUUUUUAAUACUAAUUCCAUUUCAAUGAAUAAUAAAAACGAUGAAGGUUUGACGAUGUAUGCAGGUGCUGGUAUAAGUGGUAAUACUUGUGAUGGUAUAUGUAAUGGUCAGAUAUGCAAUGAUAAUAUAAUAGCAUAUCCAAAUGAACAAUUACAUACUAAACAAUUUAGUCUUGACGAUUUUUCAAAUUUUUACAAUAAUAAAAAUAAAACAAGAUGUAUAAUACCAUGUAAUAAACAGUAUUUACACGAUAGUAGUAUCAAUAAUGUCAUAUUUUGUAAAAAAAAAAGUGAUGGUUUAACAAUAAAUACAAAUAUUGCUUAUAAUAAAAUGGACAUAUUUAAUAAAAAUAAAAAGGAUUGUAAUAUAAUACAUAACAACAGUAAUAACAAUAAUAACAAUAAUAACAAUAAUAACAGUAAUAACAAUAAUAACAAUAAUAUUAAUAACAACAGUAAUAACAAUAAUAUUAAUAAUAACAAUUAUAUUAAUAAUAAAGGGAUACAUAUAAAUAAUUAUACUAAAUUAGUUAAUGCAAAAGAUUGUUCGAAUGGUAAUAAAUGUAGCAGUAAUAAUAAUAGUAGUAAUAGUAAUUAUGUUUUUAAUAAAUGUACCUGUAAUAACUACAUCCAUAAUAACAAUCAGUUAAUAAAUAAAAAUGAAGAAUUAACAUGCACAAAUACAAGUUACAAUAAUUUGGUCAAAGUAUUUUCAACUAAUACAAAAAUAAAUAAUAAAAAUGCAUUAAAUUUAUUACAAGGUCAAGUAACUAAAAAUAUAGAGUGCAUAAAACCAACUACAAAAAAUAUAACAGAAAUGAAAAUAAAUAAUAUAAGUAAUGGACAAAUAGAUAUGCAUACAAAUACGAUUAUAAAAUCAAAAGAAAAUAUGAACAUAUAUGGGAAUAAUCAUACAAAUAUAAAUAAUAAAAUUAACAAUAAAAAUAAUUACUUUAAUAAUAGUAGCUUUCUUACUAAACUAAUAAAUGAAAAUAAUAAUAAAAAACAAAAUAUAAAAAAUGACUAUAUAAAUGAAAGUUUUUGUUUUAUUCCUAAUAAUAACGAAUAUGAGCAAGUAGUUAAAUCGUUAAUACCUUCACAGAUUUGUAAAAGUGUCACUACAACUAACAAUGUAUUAAAUGUUUUUGAUAAUAAAAGUGAUAGACAUCCAUGCAGUGAUAAUAAUAUGUUAAACAAUUUAACAAAUAAAUUAUAUGAUGAAUAUAUAAAUGAAUUUAAUUAUUUUAAAAAUAAAAAAGAACAAACAGAGGGAACAGAGCAAAAAGAAGAAAGAGGGCAAACAAAACAAACAGAACAAACAGAACAAAAAGAACAAACAGAACAAAAAGAACAAACAGAACAAAAAGAGAAAACAGAAGAAAAAGAGAAAACAGAAAACAUGUAUUUAUAUGGAAAUUCUAAGUGUUUGUUAUUAAAAAAUAAAAAUGUAUAUAGUAAGGGUGAUAGCUAUUUUAAUAAUAUUAAUAAAAGUGAAAAUAAUAAUGGUGGUUUUACUAUUGCUGUUAAUAGUGAUACAAAUAGUAAUGAUGGUAAUAUUAUCGAACGUAAUAAAAUAAAUGGUAAUAAUUUUGUAAAUGAUAAAAAUAAAUACGAUGUUAAUAAAAUUGUAAAUGCAAUAAAAUUACGAAACUUAGAAUUUAUGCAAAUAAAUGGUAAUACAAAAAAUGGGACAUAUAUAAGAACAGAAGAACCGUACGAAAAAAAAAAUAAAAACGAAAGUUGCCUAAAUAACGUAUAUAAUAAAAUUGAAAGCGGAAAUAAUAGUUACAAUAAUAAUAGUAGUAAUAGUAAUAGUAAUAUUAGUCGGCAAAAGUUUAUGUAUGUUUUACCUAGCGAUAAAAACAAUAUUGAUGAUAAUUGUAUAUCGAAAGAAUACGACAUUUAUAGAAACAGUAAUAUUAAUUAUUAUUCAUGUAAUAACAAUAAUAAUGUAAGCCAUGUUAUUAAUUCAAACUUUAAUCUGUCGGACUCUGGUGUUUUUACCAAUAACGUCGGUAAUAGUAGUGGCAAUAACGUCGGUAAUAGUAGUGGCAAUAACAUCGGUAAUAGUAUUGGCAAUAAUGUGACUAGCUAUAACAGUAGCAAUAUAAUGGCUAAUAAAAACAAACCUAAUGUUAUAAACAGUUCAAAACAACAUUCUUUUUUUAAUAAUAUUAAUAAUGCGUUAAUUUAUAAUGAUGUAAAGGAUGGUGAACCUGAUCAAUCUGUUGAUAAUUUUGUUAACGAGUCUAAUGUUAAUGAGCUUAAUAGUAAUAUUAUGUUAUAUGAUAAAAAAAAUUAUACUCUUAAUAAGGAAAAAGAAAAAUUAUUUUUUUUUAAUAAUAAAGAUAAUAUAAAUAAUAAAAAGAAUUUAAUAAAUAAUUUGCUCGUAAAUAAUGUUUAUAAAAUUGAUGCAAAUGUAAAUAAGACUUAUACUAGUGAUGCAUAUGCUACUGAUACGUAUGCUACUGAUACGUAUGCUACUGAUACGUAUGCUACUGAUACAUAUGUUACUGAUACGUAUGCUACUGAUGCAUAUGCUACUGAUACGUAUGCUACUGAUGCAUAUGCUACUGAUGCAUAUGCUACUGAUACGUAUGCUACUGAUACAUAUGNNNNNNNNNNUGCUACUGAUGCAUAUGCUACUGAUACGUAUGCUACUGAUACAUAUGUUACUGAUACAUGUGAGAAUGACACAUAUAGUAACGAUGUAUAUGUCAACGAUGCAUAUAUAACCAAUGCUUAUACAAAGGGUCUUUAUACAAAUGGUGUUUUUAAUCAUGAUGGAAGCACAGAUACACAUACAGACACACAUACAUAUGUAUACACAGACACAUACCCUGAUACAUACACUGAUUCUUGUACCGAUACAUAUAUUGAUUCAUACAUUGAUGGGUACACCAAUGCAUCCUCUAAUACAUAUCCUAAAAGAAAUGUAAAAAUACAAAACAACAAUAAUAAUAAUAACAUAAAUAAUAAUAAUAACAUAAAUAAUAAUAAUAACAUAAAUAAAAGUGAGCUAAAAUUUUAUGAUUAUAUAAAAGAUAGAUUUAAUUUUUUUGAUUCAUUUGAAGACAAUCAUACCACACUCACAUCUUCAAAUUCGCCUUUUUAUAAUUAUAAUUUAUUAAAAAAAUGUGGAAAAAAAUAAAGUAGACAAUUUAAUGUGUAACAGUAAAACAUAUAAUAUAGGAAUGAGCAAAGACAAUGUUAUUUAUAGUAAUAGAAACAGUAACCAUGUCAGUAAUCAUAUCGGUAACCAUGUCAGUAAUAGAAACAGUAACCAUAACAGUAACCAUAUCAUUAACCAUAACAGUAACCAUACCAGUAACCAUACCAGUAACCAUAACAGUAACAACAACAAAAACGACUUCAUUAUGAGUGAAGACGAUGAUUCCUUAUUUUUAGAAUACGAAAACAAUAUGAAUUUUAAUUUCUUGAAUAGGAUUGAUUGAUUAAUUGAUUGAUUGAUUAAUUGAUUGAUUAAUUGAUUGAUUGAUUAAUUGAUUGAUUGAUUAAUUGAUUGAUUAAUUGGUUGAUUGAUUGAUUAGUUUUGCAGAGGAUAGAAAUAUAAACAAGCCACUUACUUUAUAGCCACUUACUUUUAUAGUCUUUUAUUUUAUAGCUUUUAUUUAUUUAUUUAUUUAUUUUAUUUUAUUUUUUUUAUUUUUUUACUUAUUCUUUAAGUACGCACAUCUAUAUGUUCGUGCGCAUGUACAUACACAUACAUGUAAUGUGCGUGGUUUUAUUAAUUUAUUAUUUAUUAUUUAUUAUUUAUUAUUUAUUAUUUAUUAUUUANNNNNNNNNNAUUUAUUAUUUAUUAUUUAUUAUUUAUUAUUUAUUAUUUAUUAUUUAUUAUUUAGUAAUUUUUUAUUUUACAUUAUUUAGCAAUUUUCUAUUUUUUAUUUAUCAAUUUGUCAAUUUGUUAAUUUAUCAAUUUGUCAAUUUGUUAAAACAUUAUUACUUGUUAAUAUAUUUACUUCUUAAUAUUAUCACUUUUUAACAUAUUUACUUGUUAAUAUUAUGACUUGUUAAUAUAUUUAUUUAUUUAUUCAUUUAUUUAUUUAUUAAUCUUUUUAAUGUUGGUUCAUUUUUAUGAACACUCGUCAUAGUACAUACACAUUCAACAUUAGUUUACUACAUUUUAUAAAACAGAAAUAAUUAUUUAUUUUAUUAAUUAAAAAAAUAUAUAUGUUGCAAAAAAAAAAUUAACAAAUUAGCGAAUUAAUUAGCACGCCAAUUAACAAAAAAAAAAAAAAAAAAUAAAAAUAAAAUAAAAAUAAAAAUAAAAUAAAAA
rnacentral:lncRNA from 1 species